rnacentral:rRNA from 1 species
AGCAUAUAAGUAAGCGGAGGAAAAGAAACUAAAUAGGAUUCCCUCAGUAAUGGCGAAUGAACAGGGAUGAGCUCAGUAUGGAAAUUGGGGCCUGUGGCCUUGAAUUGUAGUCUGGAGAUGUACCACCAACUGGGGCGCAGAUGUAAGCCUCUUGGAAAAGAGCAUCAAUGAGGGUGAGAGUCCCGCUUGGCAUCUGCAGUCCCCAGUGCACGGUGUACCUUCUAAGAGUCACGUUCCUCGGGAUUGGAGCGCAAAUCGGGUGGUAAGUUUCAUCUAAAGCUAAAUAUAGUUUCGAGACCGAUAGCAAACAAGUACCAUGAGGGAAAGGUGAAAAGGACUUUGAAAAGAGAGUUAAAGAG